ACCAGUCAAAUAGUCUAAAAAAUCAAAAUUUUACUAAAAGCUCGACUUUCUUUGAUACAUAAACAUUUACGUAUGAUCUAGAUAAAUGAUAAGUGUGUAAUAAACAGGUAAUAAAAGCUGUAAUCUUAAUAAAAAUUUUAUCAGGCACAGUUUACAGCCUGGUCAGUAAGUGACUGGAGACAAUCCAAUUUUUCAAAAUUUGCAACCAGGUUCAUAUUGAAAAGGUUGUUAAUUGCAUAUGUGAAACAAGAACAAACAUUAAAAAAAAACAUACAAAAAUGUGUACAGAUUGAGAUAGUUUUACAAUUAUCAUUUUUAUUUGAAAUGAUCAUUGAAGAUAAAAGUUAUCAUUUUUCUCUUAUCUGAAAAAUGGCCUAAAUUUGAGGUUAUGUUAUUACGUUGCAAUACACAAUUUAAACAAUUAGUAAUACGAAAAAAAAACACGUAAUGUGUAUUGUUAAUUGUUAAAUGCAUAAAUUCCUUGAAUUCCUUUCUAAAAAAAUGUAAAUAAUCAUUGAUUAAACGGUAAUUGCAUAAAUGAAUGACGAAAUACUUCUGCAUAUUUCAAUUUGGAUUAUAAAAUGGUACACAAUCAUUUAUUCGAAGGCUACAGCAAUAAGUAAUAGGAAUUAAUAAUAAUAACAGUCAAUAGAGGAGAAGACAUCAAUUUCUUUAUCGUCAGCCCUAACUAAAUAUUAUUAGAACAAAGUGCUUAUAUGACGCACAUUUUGGACAAUGACCGGUCCUGUGGCUUGAAGACCAUUUUUGCGGAUUCUUACCUGGUUAGGCACUUGGAUUUUGAAAGGAACAAUCCUUGUGUCCUCUUUUGAGGGAUCUCCCGGCCCCCACCACGUUUCCGGAGGCACUUUUACCGACUCCUUAGUAUUUAUUUUAUAAAUUACGUUACCUAUUGCCAAGGCGAUUAAUAGAACAAUAAAUUUUAUUAAAGCGUU